GGGCGGUUCAGUCGCCUCAGCCGCGGUGUGAGGGAGCGGGAGUCUUCCUUAGCUUCUCCGCCAUGGGUGUCGCUUCGUAGCCGGGCUGCUCCGGGAAAGGCCUCGUACAGCACGCAUUCACCAGAAUCCUGUCAGCUUUCCUCUUCUCAUCCAGACGCCUGGCCAGGAUCCUCGAUAAGACCGUGACCCCCAACUUGGACACCCCAUAAGGAAAACUAGACAAUCCACCAGCCCAGGAGGGGACAAGCAGGCUUAUUCCUCCUCCUCGUCAUCUCUGGCUCCAGCCCCACCCUGGCCCUUGCUGGCAUUCUUCCUCUUCACGUGGCUGGGGUUGGCCACCCCAAUAGGGAAGCAGAGGGAGAAGUCAAUGUGCUUCUGGGAAUCCAGGCGGACAGUGAAGAACAGGAUAUUUACCACCUGCUCACGGACACGGAUAUGACACUGUUGAAUCAGCACAUGAGCGUGGCGGAUGGACUUAGCCAAGCCAAGCUUGAAGACCUGGGUCUGUAGGAAUCUCUAAGAAAUCAUUGAUCUUCAGGCCCAGGAUGUAAUCCAGCUUCAUCUUGCCCUCAUCCAGCACCCCAGUGCGGACCAGCCACUGCAGCAGGGCAAUGCCUUCGAACAGACGCCGUGGGUCCUUCUCAUCAAGCGUCAGCAGCUCCCGGGCGGCCUUAUGGAUCUUGACCAGGGUAAAUUUGACCCUCCAGACCUCACAUUUGUUCUGGAGCCCAUACUCACCAAUCAGCUUUAGCUUUUGGUCGAGAUGAGGUUUCUCGAAGGGUCUCUGCAGGGUCACAUAAGUUUGGCAACAAACCCAGCUCUGGGCCGCUGGCAUGUUGGCUCCACUUGCCCGUCUAUGCCUAAGCACAGGCCCUGGUCACUGAGAAAGAGCUCAAAUUUUUUAUAUAUUUCAUCUAAGGUGUUGAUUCUAUUGAUACCCUUAUCCUUUUAACAUGCCCUUAUCCUUUUAAUGUUGGUAAUGAUGCUACCUGUCAUUUCUGAGACUGGUUUGUGUCUUUCGUGUUUUUUUCUGAUCUGUCUGGCUAGAGGUUUACCAAUUGAUUUGAUUUUCCUCAAACUUCUGGUUACAAUGAUUCUCUCUCUCUCUCUUUUCCUGAUUAUAUUAAUUUCUGUUCUGAUCUUUGUUUCCUUUCUUCUGCUUACUGGAUUUUAUUUGCUCUUUUUCUGGUUUCUUACUGUAAAGGCAGAAGUCAUUGAUUUGCAUUGAUUUGAGACUUCUUUUCUAAUGUAGGCAGUAAGUGGUGUAAAUUCCCUUUUAGUAUGACUUUAGUGGCAUCUCACAUUGAUAUGUUUUCAAUUUCAUUCAGUUUAUUUUUAUUUAUUUUUUAAAUUAUUUAUUUAUUUAUUUAUUUUGAGUUGUGUAGCCCUUUAUUAGCAACUAAAAUAGAAGGUAUCUGUUGUACAACAUGGGUAGUAAUUGACUAUAACUGGAGAUUUAUUAUAUUCUAAUACAGAUCAUUUAUAAAUGCAAUUUCUUUAUUAAAAAGCUUCCACCUU
rnacentral:lncRNA from 1 species